rnacentral:tRNA from 1 species
GAGGCUUUAAGUUAAAUUUUACAAACUUAUAACCUUCAAAGUUAUAUAUAUCUAAAGACUAGGUAAGUCUUA